CCCCAGGUCCUUGUCCUUCAGACGACACCCCCUGCUUCUGGAGACAGAUCCGGUGGCGGCCCAUCUCCCUAUCAUUCGUCGAUGGUGGCGGCCAGUCUAGAUCCGGUGCUGCUGCUCCAUGCCUCCUCCCAGACAUCCCCGAUGUCGCGCUGCGCAUCAUCGACCUGGACCCCGCCGGCGCCACCAUGGUCUCGUCCUUCCCGGUGGCUGCGGGCAUCCAAACCGCGCAGCUGCCCAGGAGGCACCAAUGGCCUUCUUCGUGCCGAACUCCGACGGCUUCGCGACCGAGCUGAAGACCUGCUGCACGCACUUUUUCGGGAAUACGCAUCCCGACCGCCGCACGCCCUAGGUCUUCUUCCUUGACCCGGACGGUGAGGGAUUCGUUCCUGGAUGACGUUUAGUUCGUCGGAUUCCUAUUUUCUGGAUAUUAAUUCCAGAGUCAUAGUUGCCACUUGAACUUUAUUAGGCAAUCACAACCCCUUUCAUCAGACUCAAAUUUACAUCAAUCUCAAUUAGCGUUCACCUCUUUAAUUAGAUAAUUCGCAUGACUUUUUUUAUCUCUAAUUACAACAAUGCACCUAUCCAACUCUCUUUCAUUUUCUGUAUGGGAUGAAAUAAUUUCUACUUGUUGCAACUAUACUAGCUGAUUCUCCAUAAAUACACUUGUAGGUGAUGUGUUGUUGAACAAGUUCAGUAAAUCAUGGAGGAGCAAUAGAUAUUCGCCUGUCUCCAUUUUUCAUUUCUAUGUUCAUUGACUGAGAUAUACUCCCUCCGUUCCUAAAUAUUUGUCUUUCUAGAGGUUUUAAAUGGUUACCACAUACGGAUAUAUAUAGACAUAUUUUAGAGUGUAGAUUCACUCAUUUUGCUCCGUAUGUAGUCACUUGUUGAAAUCUCUAGAAAGACAAAUAUUUAGGAACGGAGGGAGUUGUUGUCGUUGUAAGACAAGUAGGACUUUGAGAGUGAGCAUAUCAUUGUUGUUUUCAGUUGGCAUUGGUUGGUACCAUGGUUGCAUUUUAUGCCGAACCACAUAUUAUGCUUUGUUAUGUUUUAGGCGACUGAAAUUCAGCUAUCGGGAUUUUGGUGUAGAAUGCACUUUCUGCUCUGGCACGAUGGAUAGUUCAGACCAGGAUAGAGAAACGAUAUUUGGUACGCUACACUUCUCGCAAUCUAAUCAUUUGGUAUAUCCUUUUCAUUUGUCAGUGUGUCCAUUACUCUCUAUUGAAAGCUGCUCUAUGGGCUGACAAGUGGACCUUUUGAUCGAACAUACAGUAGUGUUUGGCCAACUAUGUUAAAGUAGUGUUUUUCCAAUAUUACCUUAGGGUAUCAAUUUAGAAAAAUGUUAGAAUUAAAAAGCUAUAACAGGAAUGUACAAAAAAAAUUAAAGACAAGGAGUUUAUAUGAAGCUACAGUUCCUGUCCAUAUUUUGCUUUUCUGGUAUUUGAUAUGAAGCUUCAGUUCCUAUACUAAAUACAGUUCAUGUCUUCUUCUGCUUCUCCGAGACACUAUUUGAAGCAACCCAUAUCAACUUGCAACAUCACCUUUUAAUUGGUGCCCUUUGUGAAUUCAAUUUGUCACUGAGCAACUCCAUUUAAUAUUUUGUACCAGGUUUGGUGUCUAGAAAAGAAGAUCCAGGUUUGGUGUCUAGAAAAGAAGAUCCAGGUUUGGAAUUGUAGAUUUUACAAAUGGAUGCCCAGGCUUAAAUAGUUACAAAUGACAUAGCAGCAGAAGGACAGAUGUAUUGGAUAGCUUCUGCUAUUGACUUUCCUGUUCAUUUCAGUACUUUGACUUAUCGAAAGCGGCGAACUGAAGGAAGCUUCAUCUGCGAAAAAACAUACUGCUGGAUUUUCAGUGUAGCUGGUGUUCCUAUUCACGCUUAAAAAGUGCUUCAUAAUAGCCUCAUUUUACAAUUCAAGUUGGGCGUUUCCGAGUUGUGCGGAGCUCCUGUUUUGACCUGUCUCUGUAAUGGGUGUUCUGAGUUAUGAUUUUAGGUUUGUUUGUCUGGUGUGUCAGGUAGAGAUACUGGCUCUCUCAUGGAUGCAAAAAAAAAAUAUAACUUUAUUACCUUUAUGAUAUAAAUUGUGAACGAUGACCUCCAAAUGCA